rnacentral:rRNA from 1 species
AUACGAAAGGUGCAAGCGUUGUUCGGAUUUACUGGGCGUAAAGAGAGUGUAGGUGGUUUAUUAAGUCGGAUGUGAAAUCCCGGGGCUCAACCUCGGAACUGCAUUCGAUACUGAUAGGCUAGAGGUUGGGAGGGGUAAGCGGAAUUCCGUGUGUAGCAGUGAAAUGCGUAGAUAUACGGAGGAACACCUGAGGCGAAGGCGGCUUACUGGACCAAUACUGACACUGAGACUCGAAAGCGUGGGUAGCAAACAGGAUUAGAUACCCUAGUAGUCC